CAGCGAAUGGCUUGAGAUUCAACUGAACUCUUAAAAGACAACAAUAGUUACAGUGACUGAAGUAGUCAAUUAUUACUGUUGGCUACUACGGUUGAACUGUGUGUGUAGUCAUUUCAGUAGCUGAGGUGUGUAGUCAUUUCAGUAGCUGAGGUGUGCAGUCAUUUCAGUAGCCGAGGUGUGCAGUCAUUUCAGUAGCCGAGGUGUGCAGUCAUUUCAGUAGCCGAGGUGUGCAGUCAUUUCAGUAGCCGAGGUGUGCAGUCAUUUCAGUAGCCGAGGUGUGCAGUCAUUUCAGUAGCCGAGGUGUCUAGCCAUUUCAGUAGUUGAGAUGUCAGUCAUUUCAGUAGCUGAGGUGUGUAGCCAUUUCAGUAGCUGAGAUGUCAGUCAUUUCAGUAGCUGAGGUGUGUAGUCAUUUCAGUAGCUGAGGUGUCAGUCAUUUCAGUAGCUGAGGUGUCAGUCAUUUCAGUAGCUGAGGUGUCUAGCCAUUUCAGUAGCUGAGGUGUCAGUCAUUUCAGUAGCUGAGAUGUCAGUCAUUUCAGUAGCUGAGGUGUCAUUCAUUUCAGUAGCUGAGGUGUCUAGCCAUUUCAGUAGUUGAGAUGUCAGUCAUUUCAGUAGCUGAGGUGUGUAGCCAUUUCAGUAGCUGAGAUGUCAGUCAUUUCAGUAGCUGAGGUGUGUAGUCAUUUCAGUAGCUGAGGUGUCAGUCAUUUCAGUAGCUGAGGUGUCAGUCAUUUCAGUAGCUGAGGUGUCUAGCCAUUUCAGUAGCUGAGGUGUGCAGUCAUUUUCAGUAGCUGAGUAUCCAGUGUGUUGGGAGUUGUCCAUGUAUAAAUACAGCACUUGAAAGUGAACAUUUGAGACGACAUGGCUCUUCCAACAGUCUCUAUGGCGCAAGUGAGAGAGAUGGAG